rnacentral:misc_RNA from 1 species
GCUGGAUUCUGAUGGAAGGAUAAUAGCCGAGGUAAGCAACUUGCAAUAUUUCUUUGUGCGGCGUGAUUAGCAGAUCCUAUGAUUGACCAUUCAACAUUAGGUGAAUUUAAAAGAAGUCCUUGAAGGAGACAAAAGUCUUGCCAAAACCUGAUAGAUUGGUUUCAGCAAAUCUUAUAAUGUUGAUAGUUACUUGGCCCUUGUUGGUUUGACAUGUUUACGUGUACAUUAUUUAUUUUCAUAGUUACUGAAAGGUGAAAAGUGUCGUUA